rnacentral:rRNA from 1 species
UAGGGAAUCUUCGGCAAUGGACGAAAGUCUGACCGAGCAACGCCGCGUGAGUGAAGAAGGUUUUCGGAUCGUAAAACUCUGUUGUUAGAGAAGAACAAGGAUGAGAGUAGAAUGUUCAUCCCUUGACGGUAUCUAACCAGAAAGCCACGGCUAACUACGUGCCAGCAGCCGCGGUAAUACGUAGGUGGCAAGCGUUGUCCGGAUUUAUUGGGCGUAAAGCGAGCGCAGGCGGUUUCUUAAGUCUGAUGUGAGAGCCCCCGGCUCAACCGGGGAGGGUCAUUGGAAACUGGGAAACUUGAGUGCAGAAGAGGAGAGUGGAAUUCCAUGUGUAGCGGUGAAAUGCGUAGAUAUAUGGAGGAACACCAGUGGCGAAGGCGGCUCUCUGGUCUGUAACUGACGCUGAGGCUCGAAAGCGUGGGGAGCAAACAGG